AGAGUUUGAUCCUGGCUCAGAACGAACGCUGGCGGCAGGCUUCAUACAUGCAAGUCGCGCGAUUAAAGCUCCUUCGGGAGUGUAUAAAGCGGCGAACGGGUGAGUAACAGGUGGACAACCUGCCUCUCGGCGGGGGAUAACAGUUGGAAACGGCUGCUAAUACCGCGUACGUCUAAUUGCUGAUGGCGAUUAGGGAAAGGUGCUUCACGGCGCCACCGAGAGAUGGGUCCGCCCCCCAUUAGCUAGUUGGUGAGAUAACAGCUCACCAAGGCCACUAUGGGUAGCCGAGCUGAGAGGUUGAUCGGCCACACUGGAACUGAGACACGGUCCAGACACCUACGGGUGGCAGCAGUAGGGAAUAUUGGACAAUGGGCGAAAGCCUGAUCCAGCCAUGCCGCGUGGGGGAUGAAGGCCUUCGGGUCGUAAACCCCUUUUCUGAGAGAAGAACAACCUGGGUAGGAAAUGAUCCAGGUCUGACGGUAUCUCAGGAAUAAGCAACGGCUAACUCCGUGCCAGCAGCCGCGGUAAUACGGAGGUUGCAAGCGUUGUUCGGAAUUACUGGGCGUAAAGGGAGCGCAGGCGGCUAGGUCAGUCUGAAGUUGAAGCCCGGGGCUUAACCCCGGAAGUGCUUUGGAUACUGCCUAGCUUGAGUACGUGAGAGGAGAGUGGAAUUCCAGGUGUAGCGGUGAAAUGCGUAGAUAUCUGGAGGAACACCUGUGGCGAAAGCGACUCUCUGGCACGUUACUGACGCUGAGGCUCGAAAGCGUGGGGAGCGAACGGGAUUAGAUACCCCGGUAGUCCACGCCGUAAACGUUGUGCGCUAGGUGUAGGAGGUAUCGACCCCUUCUGUGCCGCAGCUAACGCAUUAAGCGCACCGCCUGGGGAGUACGAUCGCAAGAUUGAAACUCAAAGGAAUUGACGGGGGCCCGCACAAGCGGUGGAGCAUGUGGUUUAAUUCGAGGCAACGCGAAGAACCUUACCCAGGCUUGACAUCUCGGAAACCCUUUUGAAAAUUAGGGGUGCCCUUCGGGGAAUCCGAUGACAGGUGUUGCAUGGCUGUCGUCAGCUCGUGUCGUGAGAUGUUGGGUUAAGUCCCGCAACGAGCGCAACCCUUGUUCUCAGUUACCAUCGGUUCGGCCGGGAACUCUGAGGAGACUGCCGCUGAUAAGGCGGAGGAAGGUGGGGACGACGUCAAGUCAUCAUGGCCCUUACGUCUGGGGCUACACACGUGCUACAAUGGCCGGUACAGAGGGCUGCUAAGCCGCAAGGUGGAGCUAAUCCCUAAAAGCCGGUCUCAGUUCGGAUUGGAGUCUGCAACUCGACUCCAUGAAGUUGGAAUCGCUAGUAAUCGCGUAUCAGCUACGACGCGGUGAAUACGUUCCC
rnacentral:rRNA from 1 species